UAACAAUCGAUAAAGGAGUUAUCAAAUAGUUCUUAAAUAUGCUCGUGACCAAAUGAUACAUCAUUAAGGGAUGAUAAUAUUUAUCGAGUGUAGGUCAUUGUAUAGCAUAUAGGUUGGUUAUCUUCAUAACCAAAGAGUGUGGAGACACUGGUAUAAUAUAUAGGUGAGAUAUAGGAGUAUAUCAUCACAGAAUAAGUGACUCACCUAUAGAGCACUCUACUGUCAAGAGUAGCUCGUGAAGCAUAUGGGCAUAAAUAUCCCUCAGACCUG
rnacentral:lncRNA from 1 species